GAAGAUAGAGUUCGGGUUACAAGGCGACUUGU
rnacentral:autocatalytically_spliced_intron from 4 species